rnacentral:rRNA from 1 species
ACUACGGGUGGCAGCAGUGAGGAAUCUUCGACAAUGGGCGAGAUUCUGAUCCAGCCACGCCGCGUGAGGGAAGACGGCCCUAUGGUCUGUAAACCUCUUUUGUCGGAGAACAAAACCCGGGUCGUGUCCCGGACUGCGUGUAUCCGAAUUAUAUGCAUCGUCUACGUCCGUUCCAGCAGCCGCGGCAAUAUGGAGGGUGCGAGCGUUAUCCGGAUUUGUUGGGUUUAAAGGUUGCGUAGGUUGUUUUUUAAGUCAGCGGUGAAAGUUUGAGGCUCAACCAGAAAAUUGCCGGUGAAACUGGAAGACUUGAGUGUGUAUGAGGUAGGCGGAAUGCGAGGUGUAGCGGUGAAAUGCAUAGAUAUAACGAAGAACUCCGAUUGCGAAGGCAGCUUACUAAGCCAUAACUGACGCUGAAGCACGAAAGCGUGGGGAUCAAACAGGAUUAGAUACCCGUGUAGUC